rnacentral:rRNA from 1 species
UGCCAGCCGCCGCGGUAACACGGGGGGCGCAAGCGUUAUUCGGAAUUAUUGGGCGUAAAGGGCGCGCAGGCGGUCUUGUCCGUCAGGUGUGAAAUCUUGCCGCUUAACGGUAAAAUUGCCAUUGAAACUGAAGUUCUUGAAUGUAGUUGAGGUAGGCGGAAUGUGUUGUGUAGCGGUGAAAUGCAUAGAUAUGACACAGAACGCCAAUUGCGAAGGCAGCUUACUAAGCUACGAUUGACGCUGAGGCACGAAAGCGUGGGGAGCGAACAGGAUUAGAUA